GGAACGGCUACAGGAAGAUAAAACCUUAGAGGCAGGUUUGCUGCCCUCAUCAUGGGAAGGUUUUUCAGAGAAGCAGUGACUACGUUUAGGUUUGUUUUGACACUUUAAUCAGACUGGGGAAAAAAGGCCUGUUGAGCUGUUUCUAUGAGUUGUUCAGUAAUGAAAUUUUCUUCGAAGGAAGUAAAAACACUUGGAAGGAAGGUUUAAGGAUUGUACUUUAAAGCAUACGCUUAGUAAGUAUAUCUAUACUUAUUCUUAAGGGUGUUUUAUUUGCUUCUGGUACUAAUUCAGGUAUUAGUCCAAAGGCCAUUUACAUAAAUGAAAAGAGUUUUAUUGACUUUGAUGGGAUUUGGAUCAUGCUGCACUAAUUAAACAGUAAAGUAUCCAUUAGCAGCGAAGAGAACAGAAGAGAGAAGAGCCAAAUACUGUUGUGAUGAACCCUGUGAAGCUGAAUGAACUGCAGCCAAAGUCUCCAUAACUUCACAGAUGAGCUUUUCUGUAUUUCACUGCCUCAGUCUUUUUGAAACAGAUACAAUGGUAGAUUUUUAAGGGAACCAAGUGUAUGAAGAUCCUUACCUUUGUCCUGCAUGUUAAUGAGUUUCAGGAGACACGUUUAUUUAACAAAGGUAAUAAUGAGAAAAAAAGUGGGGCGUAAGGUGUGAGAAAAGAAAAAGGUAUGCUUUAAACACUAUGGAAGACAUAUUAGUGAUGCACACUUGCUGUGCUUCGAUGAUUUUGUCAGGUUUUUAAGGAAUGCACAGAGUUUCUAGAUCCUAAAGAAAAGCAAAAGUUUUUUUUUUUUUCAGAGCCAGUGCUGAACAUAGAAGAUUUUAUUAAAGUUAUCAAGCAAAAACAUUGAUCGCGACACCGUGAUACAGAGCACAGCUCUGUGUGUUUGGAAGUGCAGCUUGGCCUCGUUUGCAAAACUCAGGAAGGUCUCAUCACAGCUGCGGACUGGAAAUAUUUCAGUUGAACUGAAGGUUUGUAGAUCUAUCGCUCUUGUGAUAGCCAAAAAUCCCAACCAAGUAAAUGCCCUAGUAAUGUAAAGCUUCCUAGAACACUCAAAAUAGAAAAGAAUUGGGCUCAGGCUGAACAAUUCAAACUGUCUUCUGUGCUUCCAAAAAUAAAGUGCUUGAAGUUGAGCCCCACCUCCCUCUCUUUAAAAAAAAAAAA